CAAAACACUAUAUUUUCUUGUCGAAAGUUAUUCUGUUUUCUUCCAUGUUUCUUCGUAAUUUUCUUAGUAUUUUGGAAUAAAUUUAACGCCAUAUUAAACAUUAUACUGCAACUUCCCUGUUCCCUCUUAUGACCAACAGACAGCAGUCAUCAGCAAAAGUUUUCGAAGUCCGUUUAGCUAAGCAGUUUUUCAACUACUAACUACUACUACUACAACUCUACUAUAAAGCAGUUUCUUUAUUGGAUUUGUGUGGUCCUUGAGCCAAUGCUGACCUUUGUCCAUGACAGAAGAGUGACAUCCACCAACAUUCUGCUCCAUUCUUAUCUUCGUGAAACACACUCAUCUAGCUUCACUGCUUCUUUUGCUGCUACACAUCUUGUUGUACUUCACUGACGAGUAAUCACCUGUGAGUAAUCACCUGAGUAACCACCAUCUUCAUCCGCACCUGUAGUCACUCAUCACGGGAUUAUGCUCAGGAAGAAACGUGAAAGGUUGUGCAGCCUACUACCAACUAUUUUGUUUAAAAUCAUUGUAUUCUACUGAAUGUCCCGUCGAAAUGAUAUCAGAAUUCAUCAUAAUUUUUCCUGUUGUAUUGGACUUGCUAUAUCACCAACCCCAGCACAGACAAUCUCUCAUUCCAUCUUCUAGAGAACCUUGGAUAACUGACUGGUGGUUUCAUGUGUUUAUAAAUUGGCAUGACAAACUUUAUGAGAAGUCAUGUCCUUUGAAGAAAAAGGACAAGGACUAGACAUUCAACAAGAUUCCUUAUUUGCUAACCUGUUGGCUGCUACCCUUGAAUCUCCCCCUUUACUUCCUUACACAGGCCCUCUUGAUUGGAGGGUAACUCCUUCGUGAACUUCAUCCAUUGCUGAAAACCGACAAGAGAAUGCUGUAAUUCAAGAUUGAUAAAUUGUGUAGUUGUUAGUUAACUUACAAGUGCAUAAUCUGGGCUCCCUUCUUUUCUGUGGCCCCGUUUCCCUAACUAACCACUAACCAACGCCCGCCGGUGGUCACUCACCCGCUGU